rnacentral:rRNA from 1 species
UACGGGGGGGGCAAGCGUUGUUCGGAAUUACUGGGCGUAAAGGGCUCGUAGGCGGCCAACUAAGUCAGACGUGAAAUCCCUCGGCUUAACCGGGGAACUGCGUCUGAUACUGGUUGGCUUGAAUCCGGGAGAGGGAUGUGGAAUUCCAGGUGUAGCGGUGAAAUGCGUAGAUAUCUGGAGGAAUACCGGUGGCGAAGGCGGCAUCCUGGACCAUUACUGACGCUGAGGCGCGAAAGCUAGGGGAGCAAACGGG